rnacentral:rRNA from 1 species
CAAGUUUGAUCAUGGCUCAGGAUGAACGCUAGCUACAUGCUUAACACAUGCAAGUCGAGGGGCAGCAUGGUCUUAGCUUGCUAAGGCCGAUGGCGACCGGCGCACGGGUGAGUAACACGUAUCCAACCUGCCGUCUACUCUUGGACAGCCUUCUGAAAAGGAAGAUUAAUACAAGAUGGCAUCAUGAGUUCACAUGUUCACAUGAUUAAAGGUAUUCCGGUAGACGAUGGGG